AUUUUAUCACAAAGGCAAGGUAUAACUCAUCUCUUCCUUUCUCUUAAGCAAAUGACCUGAAUACCAUGAGGUAUCCACCCACACCUAAAAUUUAUCAUCCUAGUCAUCCCUGUUUUCUAUCAAGUUUUAUUCUUUGAUAAAAUCCCAUGAGCUUUCCCUUCAAAAUGGGUAGGAACAAACCUCAGAAUAUUCCAUCUUUAUGACACCACUGAAAAUGUUGAAUUCAGUUUUAGUGCUUUUGUUCAUUUAGAGGUGUACAGACACAAGAUUAUUCCAUUUCCUUCUGUGCUGUUCAAGGAGAGACGGUAUGAGCCCAGCUUCCGGAUGUUGAAUCAUAUGACUUGAACCAGAGGUCAGAGAAAAGAGACUUGGAGCCAGAUUGGUACACUGGGAGUUUGUUGGCACUGCUGCUGAGAGGGACGAGCCCGAGAAAAUGAAAGUAGAACUUGGCAAACAAGAAUGGAUCCUGCAGUUCAGUAGUCCAAAGCCAACAGCCAGUCCCUUGUAGAAUUUUGAAGGUGGGAUGACACUUCAACAUUCUGCUCAGCUGAGACAAGCGGUUCCCUUUGACCAAAGGCAUAUCUGAGGCUGGGAAUUUAUCCGUGACUUGUUACCA
rnacentral:lncRNA from 1 species